UGAUAUGUGGGUGAUCUGGCUGCGACAUCUGUCACCCCACUGAUCACCAGGAUUGAUUGGGUUGAUCUGGCUGGCUAGGUGGUGUCACCUGUCUCCCUCAAUGCUCCAUGUACCUCCCUCCUAGAGCUGUGGGCCCAGCAGAAAAGGGCGACCUUUCCCCACAAAGGAGGGCCAUUCUUCAGUCAAGGGUAUACAAGUAGCUGUGCUCCCUGCCAGAACCUCCAAACAAGUUCUGAAGGUCUGUUUGUAGGAGACUGUAGGGUAGUCAAGCUUCCAAGACUCCAGCCACAUCCAAAUGGGGCAGUGAACAUGGCAGUCUGCUUUUCCUU
ensembl:misc_RNA 7SK 7SK RNA